rnacentral:rRNA from 1 species
CCGUUUAGAGGUAAACGGAUGGGACCGCUAGGUUCCCCGUGGGAUUCAACCUUCCGCUCGGUGGCGGGCGUCGUUCUCGGAUCCUCRCGGACCGAAGCGGCGUUCGGCCGUCGUCGGUGGGCGCACUUUCCACGGGACUGUGGCCAGGACAGGCUCGAGGGUGGCCAGAAGCCCGCCGAUCAAGGUAACCGUCUUCGGGCGGCGCUUAGGUUCGGCGGGUGGGCAGCACCCUCGUGCCGAGGAACGGACCGCCGCCUCGGAAACGUCGUCGUCACGUGUCGGGUCAAACUGGCGUGGACUGUUCGCAGUGCUCGUCGACCGCCCGGCGCGUUGUGCGGCGGCCCCCUUCCGAACGCUCAGGGUCUCUGGUCGUUUUCGUCGGCACCCCAUCCGACCCGUCUUGAAACACGGACCAAGGAGUCUAACAUGUGUGCGAGUCACUGGGUGGCAAACCCACGGGCGCAAUGAAAGUGAAGGUCGGCUCGCGUCGGCUCAGGUGGGAUCC